rnacentral:sRNA from 1 species
CAACAGUGAUGACCGAGUGAAGAAUAAGAAGAAGAAGAAGAAACUUAUGUAACACUUUGGUCAGAUCAGUGAACA